AUGUCAACAUGAGCCAAUCUAGGUCUCCAAGAUAGAGCCUCCCCUCUGAUAGAACAACUAACCUUCUUCCACGAUCACGCCCUCCUAAUUCUAGUAAUAAUUACUGUCCUAGUUGGAUAUCUAAUAGUAAUAUUACUUUUUAACAACUACACAAACCGCUUUCUACUGCACGGCCAAACAAUUGAAGUAAUCUGGACUAUCCUCCCAGCCAUCGUUCUCCUAUUUAUCGCUUUCCCGUCUCUUCGGCUUCUUUACCUUCUAGAUGAAAUUAAUGAACCUGUCCUAACUUUAAAAUCCAUUGGACAUCAAUGAUACUGAAGCUACGAAUACUCUGACUUCCUAGACUUAGAUUUUGACUCCUACAUAAUUCCCACUCAUGAACUCACAAACAACGGAUUUCGACUCCUGGAUGUUGAUAACCGAGUAGUCUUACCUACAAAUUCCCAAAUCCGGGUACUAGUAACUGCCGCAGACGUUAUCCACUCAUGGACAGUCCCAGCCCUAGGAGUAAAAGUAGAUGGCACCCCAGGACGACUAAAUCAAACUAACUUCCUAAUCAACCGACCAGGACUAUUUUUCGGGCAAUGCUCUGAAAUCUGCGGAGCCAACCACAGAUUCAUACCUAUCGUAAUCGAAAGUGUACCAGUCUCCCACUUUAUUAAAUGAGUACCU
rnacentral:rRNA from 1 species